CCCACCAGGAUUGUUGGAGAAGGGACCCCACUGCGAAGCCACUUUGUUGGAAAAGCCAAGAGGAUUUUUAAGAGGAUUAAGCACUAGGGAACCGGAAAGCCCCAGGCACCAAGCAGAAGCCCUGGCAUCCUCCCUGGGCCUCGCUCACAGGAGCACUGCAGGCGACCAGAGCCCCUCCUCUCCUGCCCCAAUGGAACCUUCCUCUCCUGACAACUGUCCCACAGAGGUCCUGUGAUCCGAGAGCUCUCGUCCUCUCUCUGUGCAGGAGCCGACACCGUCCCACUCGAGCGAGGGAGAACCCAGCCUGGCAUAUGUCUCCACCAUUGUGUGAUGGGAGAUGAAGAAACUGAGGCACAGAGUAGGUAAGAGACAAGGGACUCUGGUUUCACGGUGAUUAAGGACUACAGUUGGCCUGGGACAUGUCAAGCAGACAAGGAAGAUUGUGGAAAGAAAACAAGUGGCCUUGACAAAGGCAGGUGGAAGUAAUGCAAAAGGGACAGGCCAAGGAGCUUCUGCUGUGACAUCCUGCUUUCCAGAAACCUCUUGGGAGGCCGAGUAGCCAAGAGUGACUCAGCGUCGGUCUUGCCCCAGCAGCACACAGACUGAGGAAAACAGGUGGGA